rnacentral:tRNA from 1 species
GCCUGGGUGGCUCAGUUGGUUAAGCAUCUGACUUCGGCUCAGGUUAUGAUCUCACAGUCCAUGGGUUUGAACCCUAUGUCAGGCU